UGAUCAUGGCUCAGAUUGAACGCUGGCGGCAGGCCUAACACAUGCAAGUCGAGCGGCAGCGGGAAGAUAGCUUGCUAUCUUUGCCGGCGAGCGGCGGACGGGUGAGUAAUGCCUAGGGAUCUGCCCAGUCGAGGGGGAUAACAGUUGGAAACGACUGCUAAUACCGCAUACGCCCUACGGGGAAAGGAGGGGACCUUCGGGCCUUCCGCGAUUGGAUGAACCUAGGUGGGAUUAGCUAGUUGGUGAGGUAAUGGCUCACCAAGGCGACGAUCCCUAGCUGUUCUGAGAGGAUGAUCAGCCACACUGGGACUGAGACACGGCCCAGACUCUUACGGGAGGCAGCAGUGGGGAAUAUUGCACAAUGGGGGAAACCCUGAUGCAGCCAUGCCGCGUGUGUGAAGAAGGCCUUCGGGUUGUAAAGCACUUUCAGUAGGGAGGAAAGGUAGCAGCUUAAUACGCUGUUGCUGUGACGUUACCUACAGAAGAAGGACCGGCUAAUC
rnacentral:rRNA from 1 species